UAUAGAAACUACAAAUAACAAAUCAUUUAAGCAAUGUAGUCGGACGAAGAAAGAUGUAAUAGCAGUAGCAGAAGUUGUGGCAAAAUGUGCUAAUAUUUUUAUCAUGGUUGGAAUACUAGUCUGGAAUAUGAAACAACUGAAUAGGUUAAUCAUUUAUUUGAAGCGUACAACAUCUACUAAAUUACAGUAAGGAAGAUCAUUGUUUUUAUAAAAACGGGGUAUCUGCUAAAUUGAAAGUGUAUAGAAUCAAGAAGUACCAGUAUUCCAGAAACCAACAACACCAUCAACAUCAAGAAAAACAUCAAGAGGGACUGCUCUCUCAACGGUCAUUCUACCAAAAGUGUCGAUUCCAUGAUAAAAAUAGUCGAGCAGCAGAAUCAAGUAAGAUAGUAACCAACCACAUUUUAGAUAAAAGCAACAAACAAAACUGCUAUUACAUAAAAAAGUCUGAAGUUUACAGAAGUUAUACACUUACACUAAAAAAAUGUGUGCAAUUCGUGAUACUAUACACUCAGUGAUAAUGAACAGUGACCCGAUCAAUUGAACUUCAUUGGUUCAAUUUUAACCUACAUAUGAUUAUGGAAAAACGUCAUUACUCUUUUUCUACGUAGACAUUGUCUUUUUAUUACUUACGAAAUAUCCAAAAUAGAGACAAAACUAUAUUGAAUGUGCUGGCAGAAAAGAAACCAAGAAACCAAGAAACUAGGAAACUAAAAUGAAGAACUAUAAACUAAAUUGAGCGACGGUGAUCCGUUAUUACUAACGGUUAGCGCGAAAAUAUUGCCCAUAGCAACGAAUACAAUUGAAAUCAACGAGUUGCUAAUAUUUGGGACAUAAAGUUGUCAAUAAAUAUCACGGGAAGAAAACAAUUGUUGUCGUAAUUUGACAACACAUCGAUAAUAUAUAUAUGUGUGUGUGUGUGUGUGUUGUGUAUGUUAUAGAACUAUUUUUUAUACAAUUUCAUUUUAUACAUUAUAUACAUUUUAUAGUUAUACUUAAUUAUAUAAUUUUAUAACAUUUUUUAUACAAUUAUUUGGUUUGCCACUGUACCAUAUAAUGUAUAAUAAAUAUUGUUAAAAUAUU